AUGUUCUCUACAGCUCUGCUGCUCCUGCUGGCAGCUGCUUCCUGUGUUCACUGUAUUGAACUGACUCAGCCUGGAUCCAUGAUAGUCCGAACAGGUCAGGCUCUGAUCAUCAACUGUAAAAUUUCAUAUACAGUUAGAAGUGAUUAUACAGCCUGGAUCAGACAACCUGCAGGAAAAGCUCUGGAGUGGAUUGGGCGCAUCCGCAUACCUGGUAGCAUAGAAUACAGUAAUGAACUGAAAAACAAGUUCACCAUCUCCAGUCCUGAAACUAACACAAUAACAUUACAAGGACAGAACCUGCAGACUGAAGAUACAGCUGUGUAUUACUGCGCACGAGGCUCACAGUGA